UACGAAGGGGGCUAGCGUUGCUCGGAAUUACUGGGCGUAAAGCGCGCGUAGGCGGGUUGGUAAGUCCGCUGUGAAAGCCCGGAGCUUAACUCCGGAGGGUCGGUGGAUACUGCCAGUCUUGAAGGUGCUAGGGGGAGAUGGAAUUACCGGUGUAGCGGUGAAAUGCGUAGAUAUCGGUAGGAACACCAGUGGCGAAGGCGGUCUCCUGGGGCAUUCUUGACGCUGAGGCGCGAAAGCUGGGGGAGCAAACGGG
rnacentral:rRNA from 1 species